rnacentral:rRNA from 1 species
CGGACGGGUGAGGAACACGUAGGAACUUGCCCUUCAGAGGGGGAUAACCAAGGGAAACUUUGGCUAAUACCGCGUAAUCUCGAGAGAGGAAAGCUGCUCGCAAGGGUGGCGCUGAAGGAGAGGCCUGCGUCCGAUUAGCUAGUUGGUGAGGUAAGAGCUCACCAAGGCGAUGAUCGGUAACUGGUCUGAGAGGACGACCAGUCACACUGGGACUGAGACACGGCCCAGACUCCUACGGGAGGCAGCAGUGGGGAAUCUUGGACAAUGGGGGCAACCCUGAUCCAGCGAUGCCGCGUGGGUGAAGAAGGCCUUCGGGUUGUAAAGCCCUUUAGGCUGGGACGAAGUGAGGUGUAGGAAAUGAUGCUUCAUUGACGGUACCAGCAGAAUAAGCACCGGCAAACUCUGUGCCAGCAGCCGCGGUAAUACAGAGGGUGCAAGCGUUAAUCGGAGUUACUGGGCGUAAAGGGCGCGUAGGCGGUGAUAUGAGUGUGAUGUGAAAGCCCCGGGCUUAACCUGGGAAGUGCAUCGCAACGAUAUUACUGGAGUAGAUGAGAGGGUGGCGGAAUUUCCGGUGUAGCGGUGAAAUGCGUAGAGAUCGGAAGGAACGUCAAUGGCGAAGGCAGCCACCUGGCAUCAUACUGACGCUGAGGCGCGAAAGCGUGGGGAGCGAACAGGAUUAGAUACCCUGGUAGUCCACGCUGUAAACGAUGAGAACUAGAUGUUGAUUGGGGAACCAAGCAGUAUCGAAGCUAACGCGAUAAGUUCUCCGCCUGGGAAGUACGGCCGCAAGGUUGAAACUCAAUGAAUUGACGGGGCCCGCACAAGCGGUGGAGCAUGUGGUUUAAUUCGAUG